rnacentral:rRNA from 1 species
UAGUCCACGCCGUAAACGAUGUCUACUAGUUGUCUGAGAGUUUAACUUUUGGGUAACGCAGCUAACGCAUUAAGUAGACCGCCUGGGGAGUACGGCCGCAAGGUUAAAACUCAAAUGAAUUGACGGGGGCCCGCACAAGCGGUGGAGCAUGUGGUUUAAUUCGAUGCAACGCGAAGAACCUUACCUCCCCUUGACAUACUGAGAACUUUCCAGAGAUGGAUUGGUGCCUUCGGGAGCUCAGAUACAGGUGCUGCAUGGCUGUCGUCAGCUCGUGUCGUGAGAUGUUGGGUUAAGUCCCGCAACGAGCGCAACCCUUAUCCUUAGUUGCCAGCACGUAAUGGUGGGAACUCUAGGGAGACUGCCGGUGAUAAACCGGGAGGAAGGUGGGGACGACGUCAAGUCAUCAUGGGCCCUUACGGGGGAGGGGCUACACACGUGCUACAAUGGGCAUGUACAAAGGGGAAGCAAACCAGCGAUGGGUAAGCGGGAUCUCAUAAAGCAUGUCGUAGUCCGGGAUUGGGA